rnacentral:rRNA from 1 species
UACGUAGGGGGCAAGCGUUGUCCGGAUUUAUUGGGCGUAAAGGGUGCGUAGGCGGCGCGGUAAGUCGGGUGUGAAAUCUUGGAGCUUAACUCCGAAACUGCAUUCGAUACUGCCGUGCUUGAGGACUGGAGAGGAGACUGGAAUUUACGGUGUAGCGGUGAAAUGCGUAGAGAUCGGGAGGAACACCGGUGGCGAAGGCGGGUCUCUGGGCAAUUCCUGACGCUGAGGCGCGAAAGCGUGGGGAGCAAACGGG